UGGCUAAGUACUUAUUGCUAACUUGAGAGAAAAAGUAUGUGCAUUCUCUCUUUAGUUGGAGUUUUGGCAUACAUAUGAACACAUUAAAGUUGAGAGAAAAAGUAUGUGCCUUUUGCUUGCCUUCUCGUUUCUCGAGUUGUUUUAUAUGGAAUCUGCAACUAACAAGACACCGAGUUAUUGCUUUCUUAUUGGAACAUAUGCUAGAUUACACAGUCUUGGUAGUUAGCUUCUAAAUCUUCUUUUGUUUUUGUAGAAGCUAAGAGGAAGAACUUGAAUUCUUUGUAAUUGGAAGUUUUCCAUCAUAUGUGCUCUUCAUAACGUCUGGCUUCUUCACUAUCCGAGCUCCUGUUGGAACUUUUCGGGUCUUUGGACGAAUAUCCUGCGUGUGCACAUAAGAAAAUCAUUUGAUGUUUGGCAUUUUCCAUUGUUGAGGAAUUGAUGUAAAGAAGAGAGCAAGCUCAGGUGUAGUCGUAAAGAACAGAGGACUGUAACUUCAAACCUGAUCAAAGAUGGCAGUGGGUAUUGCAAGUGUAGCAACGGCAUUUGGAGAAUCGACUAUACCGGAUAUUCUUCCUUCGCAUGGACAGCAUGAGAGUUCUGUGAGACACAUCUUGUUGCGGAGAUCAGUACCUGUUCUUUUGAGUAACCGAAUUUGAAGAGAUAGUCUAUAGCGUUGAGAACUGCUCGUUUGUAUGCAACUGUUGCAUCUAGGUAAUGUUGUCUUCCGCUCUCAUCGACACUGAUAC
rnacentral:lncRNA from 1 species